AUUGAACGCUGGCGGCAGGCCUAACACAUGCAAGUCGAGCGGAGCGGCGGACGGGGGAGGAAUGGCUAGGAAUCUGCCUGGUAGUGAGGGAUAACGUCCAGAAACGGGCGCUAAUACCGCAUACUAUCAGAUGAGCCUAGGUCGGAUUAGCUAGUGGGUGGGGUAAAGGCAUACCAAGGCGACGAUCCGUAACUGGUCUGAGAGGAUGAGCAGCAACACUGGAACUGAGACACGGUCCAGACUCCUACGGGAGGCAGCAGUGGGGAAUAUUGGACAAUGGGCGAAAGCCUGAUCCAGCCAUGCCGCGUGUCUGAAGAAGGCCUUCGGGUUGUAAAGGACUUUUGUCAGGGAAGCGGUACCUGAAGAAUAAGCACCGGCUAACUACGUGCCAGCAGCCGCGGUAAUAC
rnacentral:rRNA from 1 species